rnacentral:rRNA from 1 species
UACGUAGGGCGCAAGCGUUGUCCGGAAUUAUUGGGCGUAAAGAGCUCGUAGGCGGUCUGUCGCGUCCGUUGUGAAAACUCGAGGCUCAACCUCGGGCUUGCAGUGGAUACGGGCAGACUAGAGUGCGGUAGGGGGAGACUGGAAUUCCUGGUGUAGCGGUGGAAUGCGCAGAUAUCAGGAGGAACACCGAUGGCGAAGGCAGGUCUCUGGGCCGCAACUGACGCUGAGGAGCGAAAGCAUGGGGAGCGAACAGG